GUAAUAUGUCUAUGUGUAUUUAUUCGUUUUGUAUUUUCUAUUUUUCGUUUUGUUCAAUAGAAUCUUAAAAUUAUAUCAGCCAAAGUUUAACUGCGCAAGUAAAUUGAGUUCUUCCUAUCUGUAAUUUCAUUGGUUCAUAAUAUUAACCAAUUAUUUUGAAGCUAGGUGUAUAAAUAAGUUACCAAUAAUUCUAAUUAAGUUAGAGCAGUAUACAGUUUCAAGAAAAUACCAUCCGGUUGAUAUCUGUGGCAUCUUAUGGUCAAUGCCUCUAUAUUCAAAAUAAAAAGUCAUCAGAUACACAGUACACCAUCUUCAUUUUGCUUGACUGCUCGGUUACACAAAGAAAGAAGUACUUUUUAGAAAUGCAUUUGCAGAUAUAGCUAAAAGCCAUUGAUCUAAUUGAUACCCCCCGGUCCUGGUUCAUGCCCAGGAGAAUUCCCAUCGAAUAAAAAUCCCAUGGCAGGGACAAGAAAGUUGUAGGUCACUGCUGUUUUGACUAAGGCCGGACUGAUCUAAGGACCAGUGUAUAGAAAAUAUACUCAUGUGUAAUGUUCAGUUUUGCCAUAUGUUGUAAAAUUAACAUUUUGGUUUAAAAUUUUUAUCAAUUAAAAUCUCUU